UACGUAGGGUGCAAGCGUUGUCCGGAAUUAUUGGGCGUAAAGAGCUCGUAGGCGGUCUGUCGCGUCGGAUGUGAAACCCAGGGCUCAACCCUGGGCCUGCAUUCGAUACGGGCAGACUAGAGUGCGGUAGGGGAGAUCGGAAUUCCUGGUGUAGCGGUGAAAUGCGCAGAUAUCAGGAGGAACACCGGUGGCGAAGGCGGAUCUCUGGGCCGUAACUGACGCUGAGGAGCGAAAGCAUGGGGAGCGAACAGG
rnacentral:rRNA from 1 species